rnacentral:rRNA from 1 species
UACCAAGACAAUGAUACGUAGCCGACCUGAGAGGGUAAUCGGCCACAUUGGGACUGAGACACGGCCCAAACUCCUACGGGAGGCAGCAGUAGGGAAUCUUCCACAAUGGACGAAAGUCUGAUGGAGCAACGCCGCGUGAGUGAAGAAGGUUUUAGGAUCGUAAAACUCUGUUGUUGGAGAAGAACAGGGACUAGAGUAACUGUUAGUCCUUUGACGGUAUCCAACCAGAAAGCCACGGCUAACUACGUGCCAGCAGCCGCGGUAAUACGUAGGUGGCAAGCGUUGUCCGGAUUUAUUGGGCGUAAAGCGAGCGCAGGCGGUUUUUUAAGUCUGAUGUGAAAGCCUUCGGCUUAACCGAAGAAGUGCAUUAGAAACUGGGAAACUUGAGUGCAGAAGAGGACAGUGGAACUCCAUGUGUAGCGGUGAAAUGCGUAGAUAUAUGGAAGAACACCAGUGGCGAAGGCGGCUGUCUGGUCUGUAACUGACGCUGAGGCUCGAAAGUAUGGGGAGCGAACAGGAUUAGAUACCCUGGUAGUCCAUACCGUAAACGAUGAAUGCUAAGUGUUGGAGGGUUUCCGCCCUUCAGUGCUGCAGCUAACGCAUUAAGCAUUCCGCCUGGGGAGUACGACCGCAAGGUUGAAACUCAAAGGAAUUGACGGGGGCCCGCACAAGCGGUGGAGCAUGUGGUUUAAUUCGAAGCAACGCGAAGAACCUUACCAGGUCUUGACAUCCUUUGACCA